rnacentral:lncRNA from 1 species
CCUACACACACAAGCACAGACUGAAGAGAAGUUUUAGGUGAAAAAAAUAUUCUGUGAAAUAGAUGGAACCUUAAAAUAAUGCAAGAGAAUCUUUGGUCCCUUACCUUCUAUCCUCUGUCUUCUGUAUCAUCACUAACAUUUGCUCAGCAUCUACAGCAAUAUCCUCUUCUACCCCCCGCCCCAUUUUUUUUCUCCUUUUCAUGCUCUGGUCUAAACAAGAUAAUUAUCCCCCCACUCCAGUCACAGAGGAAGCUCUCUGGGAAUUAUAGCAAGUCAGAUAUCUGCAACAGUAAUGCCAUAGAAGGCAAGAGUGCAUAGCUACCGAAGCUGGAUGAAAAGGAGGCUUUAAGAGAGUUUAUUAUCCCUAACCUCUCAAGAUGAAUGGACAUAACUAAAUCCAAACUACAGGUGUGAUCUGAUGAUGAUAGAGCUACAUGGACUUACAUGAUGUUGCCAGCAGCCUUACCUUACUGAUGAGUUGGUGAGGUUUUCAGUGGGUUUAUUUUUUCUUCAAGUCACUGUACACUCUACACUGUGACACCAUCUAUUCUUUCAGUUACAAAAAAUAAAAGGACAAUUGUUCUACGUGGGUUUUCA